UGGGGGUUUCUUUUUAAAGACUGCUGCACCAGAGAUACAACAGCCGUUAACUAAGAUCUUUAACGCAUCUAUCUCAUCCAGUGUAUUUCCUGAUAUUUGGAAAUGUGCAAAGGUUCCUCCUCUUUUCAAGGAGGGCUACCUUCUUGAACGUUCUAACUUCUGCCCCAUUUCCUCUGUGGAAUGCUACUUAUCGACCUUAAAAAAGCGUUCGAUCUAGUUGACCACAGCAUUUUACUUUUUAAGUUGGGUUUAUAGUGAUGCUCUGAGAAUUCACUGGAAUGGUUAAGGUCCUUAGUCCGCUAUUAUUCCUUUUAUUUAUUAAUGACCUCCCCUUUUUCUUUCUUUUCGCUAGAUGUAAGUCUUGCCAUGUUCGCCGACAACACCACCUUUAUUGCGACUGGCGUUAACAUCUGCGAAGUUGAACUAAGAAUAAAUAGAAUUGCUAGCGAUGUAUUAAAUUGGACCAGGGUCAAUUCAAUGGCACUAAACAUUAAAAAACAAAGGCAAUGCUCAUUGUUUACAGCAACUCCCAGACUUAAGAUGGUCUACAUUGAAAGAAAAAAUCAUCUUUCUCUAGAAAGUAACAAUUGCAUGCAAGCUUUCAUUGGUGCAUAGUUGUCAGAGAUGCCUGCACUAUUUAGAUUAACAAUGCUUUCCAAAGAGCACCACUCGAUUUAAUGUUUGAUGUUGGAAUGCGGGUAAAAGUGCAGAAGAUUUGGAUGGUCUUGGUUGGAAAACAGGGUUGUUUACAUACAAUACUGCAAUGUACUAAUGGACCAGAUUUAAAUCGAGCUCUUGCCGGUCUAUUGAUAAAAACACAAGCAUCAUCCUUUAAACACAAGCACACAUCCUUUAAACUUUAUGCUAAUCGUGACUCUAAAAGCCAUACUGAAGUUAAAAAUGAUGUAUGAAGAAGAUGGCGUAGUUAUAUCAAUCCAUAGGAUACACACAAAAGAGGAUUGUCAUUCCUUUAUCAACCAAUCCAUUUCUCUUUUAAUCCGCGAUUGCAAAACCCAUACCAGUAGUAUAGAAAAUGGGGGUUCUGCGCCUGGUGGAUCAUGGUGGAUCGUGGAUCAACCUUGAGGCUUGCAAAGGCUUUCCCGGUCCGCCCUUGGAAACCGUGGAAGCCAAGAUAAAAGGUCGUAAGAGAUGUAAUACUAUGCUUAGAAUAUUGAAUUAGCGUUGUUGUAUUUAUAAGUAUUAAAAAGUCCUUUUAGAAAAGUAGAUAAGGCGAAACAGUGGGAAACAGAGCGUCACAGUCGGGGAUGGUGUGCACAACAACAAAAACCGUCUAUUCCCUUGCAAUCAUCGGCUGUUAUUCGAUACACGACCAGAGAUGUUUUUCCUCAAGCUUUUUCAAGCCUUUUAUAUAAUCAGCGAUCAACCAAGCAAUUUAUUCACCGCAGUUUGUUUUCUAUAAAUGGAAGCGUUACCGACACAGGCCUUUUUUUGGACUUUAUAACAAGACCAUAUAAAAUUAAAAUGCUUUCUACGGUGUCUAUUCCCUUGCAAUCAUCGGUUGUUGUUGAUACACAACCCGGUUUUGUUUUCAAGCUUUGUUUGGAUGGUGGCGGUGGUCAUGUUCUGCGGCGAAGUGCCUGUGAACGUUCCAGUGUAUGGGACAGAGUAUGUGGCGGUGGGAAUGGAAGAGAAUGAAUAGAAUGGAGAGAUGUGGCGGUGUUAUUGUCGAUGAGCGUAAGUGCUUUACGGUGUAAAAGAAGGGCGCUAUUCGUGUUGUUUUAGGAAAAGAAACGGCAGUCGAGGUGAAAAUUAGAAGUAGUUUUUAGUGUUAAGGCGAGGAGUAUUUGUGAUAACGUGUAGUCAUGUUUUUCUCUUCAGUUAAUCGCCCGCAAGUUAAUUAAUGUGGCACGUGCCAACUGGUGGUAAUUGUUCCUAACGGGUAAUUAAUGCAUUCGUUAUAAAUACUAGUAGAGGGAACGCUAAGCCAUUAACCAACUCAUUUCGCUAACCUUCCAAGCUCAAGAGAAACUCUACUUAGAUGGCUACUGUUGUAUACGAGAACGGAGUACGUCUAUAUAGACUUGGAGAUAGGGAAUACUAUGCCUCGGUUUGUCUUUUCAACAACCAGGUGCUUUUCCACAUAAGAAAACAGAGAAAAGAUGCUGAUAGUCUAUUCAGAGGGGGCGAUAUGACGCCUACAUGUGUUCCAAGAAGCACAAGACAACCCUCUUUGAAACAGAACCGCGAAGCCGAACCUAAGAGACAAACUCUGAAACUUUGAAAAAACCGCCUACGUUUCAACCAAAAAACACAAGGCUUCUACGCACGGUACAGGUGCUGUUAUUCUACUGUGUUAUACUUAUUCCAUUGGUUAUAAUUAGAUUUAUUGUUAUCUUGUUUAGGAGAGGGUUCAAGAAAAAUUCCUAGAAACACAUCACUACGCCCAAGCACGUCAAGUGCUUAGCCUGAGAGCUACACUUCACCCCGCCCAGACCCUUCCGCCGCCACGAGCAACAAUGUACAAUAAUGAGCAAAAGCGCAGCGCUUUGUCCUUUUUUUACCCCAAAAGGAAAGUCUUAGAGGCCGGGGUCACCACAAUUCCCCUUGAUAUCAAAACUGUAGAUGAAUUACCAUGUGUGAGAUAGGUAUGUAAAUAAAGUGAUAUCGAAGUGUAAAAGUUCUUAUUUAUAUCGAUAAUGAGCUUUUUUGUCCCCGGGACACGGGGAAAUAUUAGAUUGGCAUCAACUAAACUAAUAAAAAAACAACUUGACCAAAAAAAUCACAGCGAUCCCAAUGAGACAGGGUGACUACCAUGUGUCUGUAGUCUAGACACCACCCACCUAGAGAAGACAAGCAAUCAAACAAAAUGUUGUCGGUCACAUUCAUCUUUCGCUUUCUUCUCUUUAUAACUAUCGCAACCAAUUCUAAAGCCACGGACUGCUGUGACCAGAUAUGUCAUUGCCGACAUAUAGAAACCAUCAAGUUGGUGGACUGUUCUUUUUGAAAGCUGACCACUGUUGGUAAGAUUGUGAAGUUUUGUUUAGACAAGGAAAAAUUAGUGAUCUUUCGAGCAAACAACAUUACAAAAUGCCCAACCCUGAUAGGACUGGAAGUGAUGAUGGCUAUAGACCUCUCCAAAAAACACCCUCUCCUGCCUCUGUAUCACCAAACUACAAAAGCGUGGAUUUAGCGCUAGGGACGAUAAAUGCCCCAAAGCUCCUAACACUCCACCCAUAACGAAAAGUCACACAACAGAGAGGAAAACUACACCAAGCACGAGCACCAGGUCACCAACGAAGUCCACAAAACGCCCAUCGAGCACCUUGCGAAGACAAAAGCUAUUACGACCACCCCAAACAACACAGCAAAAAACAGCCAUAAAAACAGGGAACAAACCACAAGCCAAGGCUAGGAGCCAUCCUAGGGCCGUCACUAGAAAUCCCUGGACUUUUAUUCGUGAACUUGACCCUACGACUUUGGUUUAAACACAGGAGCAGUGGUGAGGAAAAUAUGGUUUUUUGUUUUUUUAUGGGUUUUUACAAUAUCCCUAUCCAGCGGUUCCUCAGUGGACAUAUUUAAUAUAGACGAGAUGGGCGUGUGAGUUGCUUGUUAGCCUACUUAGUUUAGUUUUAGUUUAGUUUUGUUACUGUUAUUAAGUAUAGAAAAUGUGGUCAAAAUACAACCCUAUACUCAAGGAACAUAAAAUACCGAAGGAACUUUUAUGUAUAUAUGGAUAAUUGGUUUUCUAGUAUUAAUUUAUUUCUCCAGCUUGGCCUGUUAUUACUUUGUGUGCAUCGUUCAAAUUAACUUGGGCAGAAGAGUUGUGCAGAGCCAAAAGAACCUGGGGCUGAAAGGGUUAAUCAAUUUUUGGUGAGAAAAAGGACCUAUAUGAUAUACGAUCCACGUGAAAAUCCCCAUCAUUAUCUUGGUGGAGCUAGUCCAAUUCUGUUUUUCUCACCAUUUUGAAUGUAAAGGCAGAGAGACAAACUUGUCGCCUGAGGGGGAGGGGAAGAUAAAUACUAAAGAGUCCCUUUAAAAAAAUAGUAACCAGACUAGUCAAAAAAGAGAAGGAAAAACUUAUUGGAAAGAAAGACAAGGAAUGGGUAUUGAAAAGAACUCUGAUCUACUCAUCCUUCAAGAGCUGAACAAGAUGCUUCGAUUAAUGGUUUCUGAGUUGACUCAAGAAUUUAAAGAACAGUCAAGUCUUCAAUAUCAAAGUUCAAGAUUUGGCGAGAGACGCAGGAGGAAAGCAUCAUACUUGAAAGAGAGAGUGGAAUCAGUGAGCUUUCAAUGGAACUUUAAGACUCACUGGAAAGGGAAUAUGAGCACCAGAGGAUAGGAAGAUGCGAGAAGAUUGGGCACCUGAUCAAUCUAUAUAAUUUUACCAGACUCUCUGUGACUGUCAAAUGGUUGUUGGAAUUAGACAAGUACUUUAUACCCUUUCAAAAGGUUUAACCAACAUAACAUAACAUGAUAUAACAAGAGUUAUCACUAUUCAAUUGAAUUAAGGUACUAGCACUGGCUAAUUUCGGGUAUCUCCAUUGUUCUCGUGCCGUGUUUUGUACAAUUUAUAGGUGCAUUUUGAACAUCCGAACUAAUUUUUCUAUUUUUUCCAAAAGCGAAUACAGAAUCAGUGAACGAAAAUGGGGCCUUUUACCGGAACCGGAAAUAAAUUUACUUUGCUGAUUCGAAGGAAGUGACGCUUUGUCACAUAAUAUCCACGUUUUGUUCACACCUUCGGCUGGGCACAUGCAACACGAUCGGCUUCAGCAUGGCGGCUGAGAAUUUGCAACUCGAAGCAGCUUUCUUGGCAUUCAACGCCGAGUUUGCAAGGAAUGGGUAAGACAAGUAUAUCAUUGUCUUUCGACGAUUUUUACAAUCAGUAUUCCCCUUUGAUUUCAGAUUUGGACAGGCGCCCGCGGGACUUCUAAGUAUUCUGAGGCAUUUUCGCCUCCGAGAAGGGGAGAAAGUUAACGAAGGCCGCGCCAGGCUUUACAAGCGCCUCUGGUGCUUACUGUGGUUUGGAAGUAAGAAGACAUUGGGGGCCGACCUUCCGUGGUGGCCGACGUACGUUUACCCGGAGAGCCUGAAAGCGAUCGUCAGGCUCAUUGUUCCGGGUAGCGUAAAAGAUUUUGAGGACCCGGACCACGAUUCGGUAGGUGACACACUAUGA